rnacentral:rRNA from 1 species
AUUGAACGCUGGCGGCAGGCCUAACACAUGCAAGUCGAACGGUAACAGGAAGAAGCUUGCUUCUUUGCUGACGAGUGGCGGACGGGUGAGUAAUGUCUGGGAAACUGCCUGAUGGAGGGGGAUAACUACUGGAAACGGUAGCUAAUACCGCAUAACGUCGCAAGAACAAAGAGGGGGACCUUCGGGCCUCUUGCCAUCGGAUGUGCCCAGAUGGGAUUAGCUAGUAGGUGGGGUAACGGCUCACCUAGGCGACUAUCCCUAGCUGGUCUGAGAGGAUGACCAGCCACACUGGAACUGCGACACGGUCCAGACUCCUACGGGAGGCAGCAGUGGGGAAUAUUGCACAAUGGGCGCAAGCCUGCUGCAGCCAUGCCGCGUGUAUGAAGCAGGCCUUCGGGUUGUAAAGUACUUUCAGCGGGGCGGAAGGGAGUAAAUUUAAUACCUUGGCUCAUUGACGUUACCCGCAGAAGAAGCACCGGCUAACUCCGUG